rnacentral:rRNA from 1 species
AUACGUAGGGGGCAAGCGUUGUCCGGAAUUACUGGGCGUAAAGAGCUCGUAGGCGGCUCAGCAAGUCGGUCGUGAAAGCCCGAGGCUCAACCUCGGAACUGCGGUCGAUACUGCUGUGGCUAGAGUCCGGUAGAGGAGAGUGGAAUUCCCGGUGUAGCGGUGGAAUGCGCAGAUAUCGGGAGGAACACCAGUGGCGAAGGCGGCUCUCUGGGCCGGUACUGACGCUGAGGAGCGAAAGCGGGGGGAGCAAACAGGAUUAGAAACCCCAGUAGUCC